rnacentral:rRNA from 1 species
UACGUAGGGUGCGAGCGUUAAUCGGAAUUACUGGGCGUAAAGCGUGCGCAGGCGGUUUUGUAAGACAGGCGUGAAAUCCCCGGGCUCAACCUGGGAAUGGCGCUUGUGACUGCAAAGCUGGAGUGCGGCAGAGGGGGAUGGAAUUCCGCGUGUAGCAGUGAAAUGCGUAGAUAUGCGGAGGAACACCGAUGGCGAAGGCAAUCCCCCGGGCCUGCACUGACGCUCCAUGCACGAAAGCGUGGGGAGCAAACAGG